rnacentral:lncRNA from 1 species
UACAAAAGUGUGAAUGCAUGCUUGAUACACAUACACCAAUUAAUCUGCACAUAGUAAGGGCAAUCAUCCCAGCAAGAUAAGAACUGGAUUUUAUCAUCAGAUUCUUGCCCAAAUUAGGUGAAUCAAUUCUCACAUAGCUUUCACUUUAAUUAAAAUCAAUUAGACGUUGGCCCCUAGGGACAUUCGAGCUCAAUAGGACGAAGAUCAUCAAAAGUUGCACCAAUUUCGCUC